rnacentral:rRNA from 1 species
UAAGGAAUAUUGGACAAUGCCCGCAAGGGUGAUCCAGCCAUGCCGCGUGCAGGAAGACGGCCCUAUGGGUUGUAAACUGCUUUUACACCGGAGAAAACCCCGCUACGUGUAGCGGGCUGAUAGUAUGGUGAGAAUAAGCAUCGGCUAACUUCGUGCCAGCAGCCGCGGUAAGACGAAGGAUGCAAGCGUUAUCCGGAUUCAUUGGGUUUAAAGGGAGCGUAGGUGGCCUGAUAAGUCAGUGGUGAAAUCUCGAGGCUUAACCUCGAAAUUGCCAUUGAUACUGUUAGGCUUGAGUAUAGUUGCCGUUGGCGGAAUAUGACAUGUAGUGGUGAAAUACAUAGAGAUGUCAUAGAACACCGAUUGCGAAGGCAGCUAACGAAACUAUAACUGACACUGAGGCUCGAAAGUGCGGGGAUCAAACAGGAUUAGAUACCCCCGUAGUCC